AAAGGUGGUCAGUAAGGAAACUCAACUUAAACAAAGAUGGCAUUGAGCAUGUAAAUGAAGAUAUGUGCUUAAUAGUAAAAGUAAAAUUAUCCUUUCCAUAAAGAACAUGAAAUUACAAAUCUAUGGAGAGAAGAAGUUCUUGGUCACUGCUGGGCAGUGUGUGCGUGUGUUCAGGGGACAGUGAACAGGAGCAUCAGCUAGAAAGAAGAUCUGGAUCCUUCAUCUUUUGGAGAUUUGCCCCCUGCACUUGUGGAUACAGUUUGGGGAGGUCCAGUUUGGCUCUUUGAUAAUGUCUCUGGAGCUUGAAAUGAUUUCCAGUGGUGAAGGCCCGUCAUGACCCAUGUACCUCAUAUGAGCUCUCUAGGUUAGACAACUGGCAAGAUAAAAAUGAACAUGAAAUGUUGAAAACAACCAAGAGAAAGCUAUAACCAUUGUUCACUGUCUUUCCCUUCAAUACAAUACAAUAAAAGGAGAUUCCAUAAAAUCAUUCCACUUUGGUAUCAUACUUUAUGGGCAAUGUCAUUCUGACAUCAUUAUUCUGGGCCUCACGUUGACAUUAUAGAAAUGGGGACGGGCGAACUAACUUUUUCCUGAAUGCUCACUAAAGAUUGGAAAUGGACAAAGAGGAGAUCAAGCACUCAGUGGUGGGAUUUGGCACAGAAAAGCAGCUACAGCAUAGCUCUGACUUCUACCCCGAAAUUUAUUCAUUGUGUGACAUUGGAAAAGUUCCAGAACUUCUGUAAAAUGUGGACACUAAUUCUUACCCUCUGGUAUUUCUGGAAUAUUAAGAAAAAUAAUUAAAAUAGAAUACCUAGCACAUUAUAGAUACUUAGUAAAUGUUUCUUGAAUGCAUAAACAUACAAAAUGCAGUUCUUUUUAUUCUUCACCUUUUUCAAAAAUACUUUAUUGGUUUUUAAUUUCAACAAUAAUUGUAUCCAUUUGCUAGGGCUGCCAUCACAAAGAACCACAAAGCGGGUGGCUUAAACAACAGAAAUUUGUUGUCUUGCAGUUCUGGAGGCUGGAAGUCUAAAAGCAAGAUGUUGACAGCAAUGUUGGCUCCUUCUGAGGGCUAUGAGGGGAGGCGGUUGGUGCUCCAGGUCUCUCUCCUUGACUGUAGAUGGCCAUCUUUUCCCUGUGUCUUCACAUCGGCUUCCCUCGAUGCCUGUCUGAUGCUCUGAAUUUCCCCUUUUCAUAAGGGUACCAGUCAUCAGAACACCUACUACAGUAUGAUCUCAUUUUAGUUUAACUGAUUACAUCUGUACGAAUUUCAAAUAAGGCACAUUCUGGGGUACUGGGGAGCAGGUAGGACUUUAAAUAUGAAUUUGAGGGGGAUAUAAUUCAACUCAUAAAGGUAAUCAAGGCUUUGUGUAGUAAUUCAAGCAAUAGCAACAUAUGGAAAAUUAAUGUUCUCCUCCCCCAAUUUAGUUCCAUUCUUCUGCUUCCAACAUUUUUGAAUGUAUCCUUCCAUAAGUCUUUCUGUGACCCCCAACACCCCAGAUA